AGCGAUCAGAUGCUGAACAUCACA
rnacentral:siRNA from 1 species